rnacentral:rRNA from 1 species
AGUGAACGCUGGCGGUAGGCCUAACACAUGCAAGUCGAACGGCAGCACAGUAAGAGCUUGCUCUUACGGGUGGCGAGUGGCGGACGGGUGAGGAAUACAUCGGAAUCUACUUUUUCGUGGGGGAUAACGUAGGGAAACUUACGCUAAUACCGCAUACGACCUACGGGUGAAAGCAGGGGAUCUUCGGACCUUGCGCGAUUGAAUGAGCCGAUGUCGGAUUAGCUAGUUGGCGGGGUAAAGGCCCACCAAGGCGACGAUCCGUAGCUGGUCUGAGAGGAUGAUCAGACACCUUGGCAGUGAGGCUCAGUCGAGACUCUUACAGUGGGACACAGCGGAGAAUCUUGGGCGAGGGGCGAAUGCCUGAUCCUGGAAUACCGCGUGAGUGCAGAAGGCGCUCGGGUUGUAGAGCCCUUUUGUUGGGAAAGAAAAACAGCAGGUUAAUACCCCACUGUUAUGACGGUACCCAAAGAAUAAGCCCCGGCUAACUUCGUG